UAGGGAAUCUUCCACAAUGGACGAAAGUCUGAUGGAGCAACGCCGCGUGAGUGAAGAAGGGUUUCGGCUCGUAAAACUCUGUUGUUAAAGAAGAACAUAUCUGAGAGUAACUGUUCAGGUAUUGACGGUAUUUAACCAGAAAGCCACGGCUAAAUACGUGCUAG
rnacentral:rRNA from 1 species